UGAGGGGGAAGGCAGGGGGAUUCUCGCGAGAGAGGGGCGGCGGGAUCUGCCCCGGCUCCGCUAGGAGGCGCCGCGCCCUGCGGCUUGGGCCGGAGAGGGAGUUGGCGCCUCGCGCUUAUCCCUCCGCCGCGGCCGGGACUACAUCCUGCCCAGAGGGGCCCCUCGCUCCGGGGCGGGAGCACGAGUCCGGCGCACACGGGCCACGUGACGCCCCACGUGACCCCGGCGGAGCGCGCACUCUCGUGCCGGGGCGCUGGUGUGCGGAGGAGGGGGGGGGCGCUGGUGUGCGCGCGCAGGCGGGGGGUGGGGCCGCCCUCACACCCGCUCCCCGCUCGAGGGCCCGGGCUGGGGGCCCAGCGCGCAGCACGUGGGGAGCCCGGCUGUGCCUCGUCCCUCACGAGGCGUGAGGGAGGAGGGACAGUCAAGAGUCCUUGUAGGGCCACAAGGAUAGGGUGUUAUUUCAGAGCUGUAGCGCCUGGCCGGCCGGCCGGCCCGCCCUCCCUCAGCACUGGGGCCCAAAGCUACAGGCCAGGUCACAAGGGACGAAAGGCCUCCAUUCGUUUCAAAGUGCUGGCACGCUUUCACAAGGCAGAACAGCUUGGUCUGUCCCGCGCACCACGUGGCGGGGGAUGUCAGUUUCCUGAAGCCCUCGGACCCCAAGGGAGCGACCCGACAAGUUCUUCGAAUCGUCGUUGAAAACGUAGAAACGCUUGCCGGAAGUUACUUGUGCUUCACGAGUGUUAGGUCCCGUAUUUUUUUUAAAUGCCUCCAAUUUUGCAAAUGCUGACGUGGGGCGAGGUGGUUCCUGACUCGUUCAAGGAGGCGCGAGCUUUCGUAGGACGCAGCCGACUUUGUCAGAUGCUAUGGACGGACUUUUAAAAGACGUGGGGUACUAAAUGAAAAGGAAUAAAGCCAUUUCAAUAUAAAGGACAGGGAAGGAGAGGAAGAGAGGAAGCUUUGCACAAAGAGUUAUGUUCAUGUUGAGAUAGGUAGUAAAUACUACAAACUUUACCUUGGUUAAGACUUUUUUUUUUAAUUUAGAUAUUAGCAGUUACUCUGUCAAUGACUGCAAAUCAUUCCAGAAUUUAAACAUGCAUUUUCGCAGUAAAUUCACUUUAGUGAACAUAAGAAAUAGUAAGUCAUUAAAAGUAUUUCCUUUAUAACUGAACGAAAACACACAGGACUUAUUUGUACCAACAAAUUUGUUCAUGCUGUUUACUGCUGUUGGGCUUCUAGAAAGGAAUUUUGAAUGGUAUUCCUACCACAUGGAAAAAAAAUGAAGAAAAAAAUCUGUGAGAGUAUCAAAGAAAGUAUGAGAGCACCAAAAGAGGAAAGCUUUGUAAAUUCUGAUAUUCAGAAACUUUCUUAGAAUCUGCAUUAGUAAUUAUUUAUGUAGCACUGCCAAUGGAUACAGCUUUUAUAGCAAGUAAAAUCCAUAAUAAAAACAUGAAAAAAACGGAAAGUUCCUGGACCACAGAGCUUGCAGUCUGAAGGCACGUUUGUUUCAGAAAAGCAUACAGGGAGAGCUGCGUGAACUGAAGAGGAGCAAGAUUCAUGAAACAAAGGAGGAAGCAAUGGAAAGCAGAGGUAAGAUUUUACAAAUGCUUUAAAGGAAGCUGUUCCUCAUGUUAAUGGUAAUAUGAAAAUGCAAGUGUGUAUGAAGGAAAGAGUGUCUAGAGAAGCACAGCUCAGAACCGCAGAGUUGUGACCCAGGAGACAUGAGCUUUCGAGGCUUGAAGUCAUAUUUGCAUCACUUCUAUUUUUGGGUAUGGCUACCAGCCCUGAGCCUUCUCUAACUACUGUUGAGUUUCCCCCAGUCACCUGCAGGCCACUCUGGCAGCUCAGAACAUCUGGAGGGCAAACAUUCAGUUCUCUUUUCCCUGUCCUCCAUAUGCACCUAUACUAUGGACAUUCCAGCUGUCAUUCCAGUCCCCUGACUGCACUGGGGUUGUGUGGCUGAGCUCCUGGGCCAAGGCAGCAGGGUGCAGAGCCCCAGCCCGUCUCUGCCCUGUGGGGGACACAUGCCCCCGUGCAUUCCCCAGGGAUGUGCAUUGCUGCUGUGAACUGUGCCUCUUCCCCGCACCUCUGGACAGCCCACCCCUGCCCGGGGUCCCAGUCACCCCUACCCCUGCUUCUGCCCCACUCCCUCCCUCACCGUGGGGGCCUCGAUCUCCUCCCAGUCCCUUCCCUCUCCCCCACCCCUUUCCCUACACUUAAAUGUCUGGAUUUUCCCAGCUGGUGAGGGCUGGAUCAGGAGAUCGCAAGUCGGAAUUAUUUUGACUUUGAUAUUCCAAGUCUCAGAAUGGUUUUGCGACAGUUGGCAUUACUGUCAAUGGAAGAGAUUGCUAGGUCUUGAGCUUAAGCUUUGAUAGUUGCAGCAAAGAGCAAAGGCUGAAUUUUUGUAAUAUUGUAUAAGAAAUAACACAUGAGAGAGCUGGUCUUGCUUCCAUUGAAUUCAGUUGGAGUUUUCCUCCUAACUUCAGUGAUAGAAACAGUGGGUCAAAUGCUUAGCAAGGUGGAACAGAAGGAAGGAGGAGUCAAGGUUGACACUAAGGUUGCAACAUGAUUGGGAACAUGAGUAAUGGUGUUUAAGAUGACCUGCAAAGAUGGGAGAAGGAGAAGUAGAAAGGCCAUCUCCCCAUUUUUGACACUUUGUAAGGCAAAACAGCAAAGUUGACAAACAUUUUUCCUCUGCUUGCUUUUUACAUGAAGAAAACAGAUGUUGUCCCCUGUUGGAAACUAUGAGGUGAGGACCAGAGAACAAUGAAAUUAUAGCAUCACAAAGAAACUGAAAGUUGAGUAACAGACCAGACAAGCUGUUUAGUCAGGACUUGUCAAAACACAGAAGUCACAUGAGCUUAACUAAAGGUGUGAUGUUCUACCAACCUAGUCAAAGAUUAUAAAAAGUGCGCUGGUUUAAUAACGGUGCAAUAUUUAUUCUCCCCCUAGAUUAAAAAUAAUAAAAUGCCUAUCCCUAGGCUUUCAGCACCCUAACAUUAAUUAUAUGAUAAAUGCAGUUACAAUAAGAAUUAAAAUAAUUGGUUUCACAGGAACUUAUCCAGUCAAUCAGCCUACCUGGUUCCUUCAUUAUAGCGGGACCAUCCCUUCAGCCAUGUUUAAAACAUCUCUCAUGCAGCUGUCUUUGGCAGUGUAGUCAGAAAGUCACCAAAUUCACUCUUUCAGAUCAAGGACCAGGGACUCGGAGAACUUCUCACCAUUUUCCCCUUUCUUUUAUAAUGAAGAAUACCAGCUCAGGUGCCCCUUAUGACCACAGCAAUGGCAUUAUGGCCUGACAAGAAAGGCAGUCCGUCAGAUAGGGACACAUGCAAUUCUUCUACUUAGAUCAAUGAACAGUCAGUGUAGAUCCCACAAUAAAUGUGCCAAUUGCUCACAAGGAGGUGCUGUAUUUUGUAACAGCUGUUGUUUUUUGCACCAGCUUCAGUCUCCAGCCAGUUUAAGGUGCAUCCCAUGCAAGCCGACAAAAAAUGGAGGCCAGCUCUCUCGCAAACAGGUAUCCCUAAAAGUCCAAAAUGGCAGACUUUAGGGCUUCUGUGCCUUUUAAAUCCAUAGACAAUCGUUAAUCUUAAUAAGGCUUAAUAUGUCAAGCAUAGGCGCCAGGUAUGUUGGGGCCCGAGGCGUUGGGAAGAGGGUAGGGUGACCACCCUGUCCCUAAUUGGGCAGGACUGAGACAGUCCCAAAAUGGGAACUGGUCCCAAGCUGCAUGACUCCAGGCUGGCAUUUGUCCCAGACUCCCAGUAUCAUGCAGGGAUCCAGAGUUCCAGCCUGCAAGGAACUGUGGGGAGCAGGACGCAGGGGGCAUCACAUGCAUGUGUGCAUACAUGCACGUGACCUGGGAAUAUAGCCUCAGGCAGCGGUGGAGAGCUGCUUCACCAGCUGCCUACAGGUAAGUCUGUGUGUGUGGGUGGGGAGGGAGGGGACACAGAUUGAGGCCCCCAUGGUGAGAAAGGGAGUAGAGCAGGGGUUGGGCCUGGGUACACUGCCCAGGCAGGCUGGUAUAUGGGGCCCAGGGACAGGGCAGGGCUCCCUGCUGCUGCACACACUCCCAGGGAGGGAGGAAUGGUGGGGGUUCAUGCCCCCCAGAUUUGUGCACAGGGCAGGGGUGGAUGCAGAUGCAGGCUGUCUGCUCCCUGCCCUUUUGCCAGCUGCAGGCUUAGGGCUUCCUGCCUCACUGCCUUUCCCCUGGCAUUUCUGCACCGAUUUCAUCACUAUGGCAAGGUGGCCCCUGCUUGUCUGACAGUGGGUGCAGCAGCGUGGAGUUGUGCCCCCCGCUGCUGCUGUGGUCAGCAGGGGGCAACUCACCAUGGUGGUGCAGUUGGUGUGGAGCUCCUGGGAGGAGGGCAGCAGGAGGGGGAGCUCCAAGCCUGCAGCGGGCAGCCUGCAUCUGUCCCCACACCCUCAUGGGCAUCACUCAGCUCUGCUCCAGCCACCAGGGGGAGGGCAUCAUCUUAGGUAAAAGUAAAAGUCUGUACCUAUGAUGUCAAGUGCUAAGUCAAAGCAAGUUUCACAUUGAAAAACUGGAUAAAAAGUUACUUUCUAUGGGGCUUAGCAUCCAAGUUACAUUUGAAAGAAGAGUUAAGUUCCUAACUUUGGUAUUUUUCAAAAGUAACUUGGGCACUUUUGAAAAUAUUACCUUUGGUUCAUGGGACACCAGAUGAGAUCUUGGUCACUUCUUCUUAAGUUACUAUUCCAUCCAUAUCAUUCUCUAAAGGCUGUUUUAUAGCCUCCAUCUCCAUCCAUUUCCUACUGGACAUCACAACUAUUAGUCUCUAUUAGAGACUAUGGGUUAUUAGAGAGACUCUGGGUUAUUAGAGAACUAUUAGAAGCUAUGGGUUAAAUGCAUAGGAAUUUAACUGGCCUCUCAAUCUUGGAGAUGGCUGAUCCUGAACAGAAAAGAAAGUUUGUAUUGUCAUUAACUGAAUCAUGGUUUCCCCUUGUCUAUCUAGCACCUUUCAGAUACAGUCCAUUCACACUGUGAAUUUAUUCAGUGCAAAUCUUUUUAAUUAAUCAUUUUAAAACAGUAUAAUUUAAAGCCUAAUGUCACUGGCUUAAUUAUUUAUCAUUUCUCUAAUAAACAGAUUUUCUCUUUCACCUCUGCCCUCAGAUACUGCAUUGAAGUCAUAGUGCCAAACUGAUAAUGUAAUUAUUUUGACAGGAUCAGCCAUUCCACUAGCACACAAUUAUGCUUCCUUGCAAGAUCAAAUGGAAUGAGAAGCUGGAUUGUGGAGGAGUGCUCUCUUUUUCAAUCAUAACAUAGACUACACUGGUUGGUAAGGUAUAUUGUGGUCUCUUCUUCAUAAAUAUGCCAUCAGAGUUGCACAGUAGUAGUACAAAGACAGCUGGGACCAAUGAUGUAAAUAAUCAUGCUCCCACUCUUAGUCCUUAUUUCCUCUUCCUCUGUUGAAGCAAAGCAUUUUAAGAUUAGAUAUUUGUCAUAUGAUCUUUACAUUACUUCCCAAAGAACCUCAAGUUCCCAAGCAUGAUUUUGUCUACAUAAAAUUCCCAAAGGCAAGGUUCACCUUGUUUCUGAGAAAAGACUUUCAUGAGCCAAAUAUCUAUGAUCAAGUAAACACAUGGGUGCUCAUGAUGCAUGUGAGCUGUGACCAAUGCCAACUUGUGGCAGUGACUCUGGGAUCAACUGCUACCUUGUGGGACAAACUAUUCUGUGAUAGUCUUUGCCACCAUGGUCCUGCUGCUUCAUUAAGUUGCGUUGAACACAAGGUUGGAAUUACGUUCCUCCCCACUUCCUCCAAACUAACAAUAAGUAUGGAUGAAGAAGUUAAGCGAAUCCACCACGCUUGAGUAGUGGUUCUUAGCUAUUCUGAUCUACCAAAGAGACAUAGGGAACACAGGUGGUUCAUUGAACACAAGAACUGCCAGCUCUGAGUGUGAAAAGAUUCCCUGAUUUCUUGCCCCAGUCAUGUCAUCUACAGCCUGGCACUUUGGAGCCUGUACUUUCAAAGAACAAGAAUUAAGUGAAGUAACCUACUUUCCUUUUUGUAUAUCCACUGUCCAGUGUAGAGAUUCCUCUACAGCUCUGGAAUCCAAAACAUUUCAUAGCAGAUGAAAUCCUGGCCCUAUUGAAGUCAGUGGUAAUCCACUGAUUUCAACAGUACCAGGAUUUCACUCAGUUUCUACCAGGAGCCUCGAUAGACUCAACAGCUACAUUUUUGAUGAGGCACUACUAACUUCAUUGUAGUUAUGUAGUUUGGGAUUGGAAUUUCUAGAUAGUCCAUCAGAUGAGUCACCAUGCAUAUACUGACAAAUUAGAUGUACCUGAAGCUUGAAUAUUUUAGAGACAGAUUGAAAAAGAUUAGACACAUUGAAACUAUGAUGAUACAGCUAUAUUUGUAUAUGGUACUGCAUUUUGAAGUCCAAGAGUAUAAUGCUCAAAGAUCAACAUUUAGCAUCUGAGACUAAUGCAGAGGAAGUCAGAGUAGAGAGGAAAUAGACAAUUUCUCUAUACACUGUCCACAAUGAUUAAAGUUCCUAUAGAAGCAUUUUGUUGUGGACUUUAUGGUAAGGCAUCAAAUAAUGUCAGGAUAUAAUUUUGAUAGGAAUUUGCAUAAUUAAAUUAAGCAAUUUUGUGUGUCAAAAAAGGGGAUUGUUACUUAUGAAUUCUGAAUUGAAGUUAACAUGAUUGAUUAUUUUGAAUGAUUCUAAACUUAAAAUGGUAAUGGCAAUUGUUAGCCAAACUUAAGGAUUUAUCAAGGCAGCAGGCAGAAAAAACAUCUUGCAAGUUCUGCAACAUCUAAAUGCACUACUUGGAGCUUGGAUAGUACUUUUUGUUUAAAAAAAAAAAAAAAGAGAGAUGUCUGAUAUUUAAACUAUAUUAGUUUCACAUGCAGUCACUGAAGCUGGGAAUGUUUAGCAUGCACUAGCAUGUGGAUAUGAUCUAGGCAUUUGCACACACAUGCCCAGUUUAAGUUUGUUUGCCUGACACAUUUAAAAAAAUCUCAGGGUCUUGAAAUUCACAGGGCUUUCCACAUCUCUGAGACAACAGCAGUUCUCAACCUAUUUAAACAGAUUCAAGGCACCCGUUGGAAAAUACCAGCUCUUAGCUUUCCUUCAUUUCAGCUAUUAUUCUGUUGCAAAGAACUCAGAAAGACCACAACAGGGCAGAACGUUUUUAACAGUACUUGAAAUCCCUGUGCUUACCUAGUGAAUCAUGUUUGCACAUCUAACAGUGCUAACAUCAUGUGGCACCCUGUGGCACCCUUGAAAGGACUGUAUGGCACCCCAGGAUGCUGUUGCACCUUGGCUGAGAAUAACUGUAAUAAUUAUGCAUUGCUUAUAUGUUUAAAUAAUUAUAAAGCUAGUAAUUUCUGGAAUCUUUAGAGUACCCUUCUAAUUACUUACACAUUGCAUUUUUCAUACUUGCUGUAUAGUUGAGGUUACAUUAACAAAAACAAUCACAGAGCUGUUUAAUGUUCUAGGGGCAUGGGGAGAUGAAGGAGGCUUGAAGACAGAGCUGGUCAAAAUCAAUUUGAACUUUUGCACCAACACUUAAGGAACUGAAUCUCAAAAAAUGCACAUAUAUCUAACUCUGAUUAUUUGAGCAGAUAACCCAGCUCCAGGGUCUUCCUGAACAUAUAUUGUGCUGGGCACUCUGCCCCAAUUUGGUGAUACAAUUACAUGUGUUAACUUCAAGCAUCACUAGUCCUUGCUAGUUCACUGGACCUACUCACAAGCUUAAAGUUAAGCACAUGCUUAAAGUUUUCCAUAGAUUGGCAUGACUGAGACCACUGUGCAAGUCAUAAGGAAAAUUCAGGUAUUUCUUCCACCUACCCUCCAUGCUGCAGUUGCACAGACCUAUAGGCUCUGCAUUUUAUAGUCAUCAGCUCUCAUUCCAGGAGGCUGCCUGCCUGCCUGCUUCUGGAAGGAACCAAUCAUCUGUUUGGGGGAGGGGAGCUGUACUGCUGCAAAGCAGGGGGCACUGCCUUUCUCUCUCAGUUAAAUAUGUCCAGCUACAUCUAUCCCUAGCAUAACAUUACCUGCCUUAAAGUGAUUCACCCAGGACUGAGUUUGACUUGCAGUCCUUACAGCCUGGCCAGGCAUUAACAGAGAUUCCUGUACACUCAUAGCAGUACUUUCACACUAACAUUGUAGGAAAAAGAAAAGCUUGAAACGCCCCCUUUUUGGUCUGCACAAAAAAGGAGGUUUUUUAAAAAGUGUUGAGGACAGAUCCUUCAGGUGCACAAUGUUCAUCAAGGUAAGUUUCAUAUCCUUUUUCCAUUAUGAAAAAUGUUUUCCCCUAGCUGGGAGAACUCAGAACCUGCGGUAAAUAGUGUAACAAUGAGAAUGCAUGGCACUGUCUUUGAAAAAUAAGAGCUUUCAUUUAAAAAGGUACAUCUGUUAAAGUUCUAACUAAUAUAUUGCAGUAUUGAUUUCCACCCUGCUACCAAUGUGUACUAUAACCAAGUCUGUUCUAGUUCUUAGCAGUGCAAUUAGUGUUUCAUUGCACAAAGGAAGAGGAAGACGGACAGAAUAGAGGGUUUCAGAGUUUACAUUCAUAUCCAGUGCAGCAGGGCACAGAGUGUCUGGGACUAGAGGGUCAGGAGUAGAGGAUUUGUCAUCACACACCUUACAGACCUCCAGUACAGUGGAUAUGCUAGGAUCAAGGGUUACUCUAGCCACACACAGCUGGAAAAGCAGGUAGUCAACAGAGAAGGAGCAGAGUUGGGGGAGAAUUGUUUAGGGGGAAAAAAGCAGGGCAAAGUUAUUCCUCUAGCAACAACUUUAGCUAUUUCUGGGAUAAGCUUUUGUUCCACUGAACACUGACAGACAGUUUUAUUGAGCCAACUGGCGUGUACUUCCAGAGAACCUCCAUGCAGAAAUAUUAUCUGCAUAAUAUUGUGGGUGACUCCCUCCUGAGGAGGAUGGAGGGAGCGAUUUCUUGUUUCGACCCCUUAGCCCGGGAGGUCAGCUGCCUCUCAAGAGCCCGUGUCUGGGAUGUGGCUGAGAGGAUCCCAAAACUUAUCUGGCCCUCCGACCAUUACCCUAUGCUCCUUAUCCGUGUGGGCACAAAUGACAUGGCUUGGAGCAAUCCCAGCUGGGUCAUGAGUGGCUACAGGCCUCUGGGAGUGGGGCUCAGGGGGUUGGAGGCGCAGGUGUUUUUUCCCUCAAUCCUUCUGGUUAUGGGUCAUGGGCACGGGAGGGAGAGAUGAAUUGAGGCAGUAAACAGAAGACUGCAGUGCUGGUGAAGGCUUCGGCUUCUAUGACCACAGUCCACUUCUUGGAGAGAGAGGCAGUGGUCUGUUGGGAAGAGAUGGCUCCACCUCACUCCAUUGGGGAAGAAGGUCUUCUCAGCCAGAAUGGCUGACUUGCUUGACCAGGCUUUAACUAAGCAUGUCAGGGGAUGAGCGGACAACCACCAGAGCAAGCUCACCAAGCAUCGACUGCAAAACCAGCUGGUUAGGAUGUUCAAGGGAACCCACUCCUACCCCAGCCCAGGAACAGAGCUUCUCCAUGACUACAAGGAAGCCUAGGGCCUCCAACAGCACACAUACUUGCCUGUAUACUAAUGCUAGGAGUUUGGGGAAUAAACAGGAGUAACUGGUCCUUCUGCUAAACAAAAAUGACUACCAUCUCAUAGGGAUCAUGACGACCUGAUGGGACUCCUCCUAUGACUGGACUACUGGUGUAAAUGGCUAUACCCUGUACAGGAGAGAUUGUGCUGAAAAAAGGGGUGGGGGUGUAGCUUUCUAUGUGAAGGAGAGCUACACAUCCCUACAAGCUGAGAUUGGCACUCGAAGGUGACUGGAGAGCCUUUGGGUUAGAAUAUGAAGGGAACAUAGCAAAGGGGAUGCAAUGGUAGGAGUUUAUUACAAACCUCCAAACCAGGAACAAGUGCUUAACCAAGAAUUUGCCAGGGAACUGGCCGAGGCUGCACGCUCUCAGUACAUGGUUGUCAUGGGAGACUUCAACUACUUGGACACCUCAUGGGAUGAGCACUCAGCCAAAUCUGAUUGGUCACAAAGCUUCCUUACAUUUGUGGAUGAGCUCUACCUGUCCCAAGAAGUUUAUGGUCCAACAAGAGACAAGGCACUGCUGGACCUGGUACUGGCCAAAGGGGUAAUUUAAUUAGUGACCUAAGAAUCGAAGGGAAGCUGGGUGAUAAUGACCAUGAGCUGAUCACUUUCACUAUGCAUUGCAAAGCUGGGAAGUCAGCCAGCAAUGUAGUAAUCCUCAACUUUAGUAAAGCUGACUUUCGUAAGCUCAGGAGGCUUGUUCUUGUGGCCCUGAGAGGCCGUGAUUUCACAGUGAGGGGAAUUCAUGAUGAGUGGUUGCUCCUUAAGGAAGCAAUCCUAGAAGCAAGAGGGGAGUCCAUCCCCACCUGUAGGAAAGGUAGUAAAAGGGCUCAACAACUCCCUUGGCUCAACAGGGAACUUAUGGACCUCCUACGUCUAAAUAGAGAGGCAUGUAAUGGAUGGAAGACAGGAAACACCACUAAGGAGGCGUAUACUGCACUGGUCUGCACCUGCAGGGAGCAAACUAGAAAAGCCAAGGCUGCAUCUGAACUCCCAUAUGGCUAUACAAAUCAAGGACAAUAAAAAGUCCUUUUUCAGAUAUGUGGGGAGUCGAAAGAAAAACAAGGGCAACAUUGGACCCCAGCUAAACCAGCUGGGGCAGCUGACUACCGACACCCAGGAAAAAGCCAAUCUGCUUAAUGAUUACUCUGCGUUGGUUUUUCACCAGCCCAAAGGCCCUGCCAAACAUGAUGCAGGAUGACCAGGGUGGAGAUGAAUAUAUGCCCACCAUUGGCAUGGGUCUUGUGAGGGAGCAUCUUAAGAGGCUGGACCCUCAUAAAUCAGCUGGUCCAGAUAGGUCGCACCUAAGAGUGCUAAAGAAACUGGCAGACAUCAUAGCACAGCCACUGGGCGAGGAUAUUCAAGAACUUGUAGUGCUUAGGCAAAGUACCUGAAGAUUGGAAGAGGACCAAUGUGAUGCCCAUCUUCAAGAAAGGGAGGAAAGAAGACCUGGGAAACUGCAGGCCAAUCAGUUUGACAUCAAUCCCUGGAAAGAUUUUGGAAAAUAAUAUCAAAGAAACCAUUCCUGACAGGCUAACAGAAGGCAACAUUCUGAGGGUUGGCCAGCACGGGUUUCAUGCGGGUAGGUCUUGCUUCACCGAUCUCAUUUCCUUCUAUGACCAGGUGACAUUAUCACCUGGACAAAAGAGAAGAGGUUGAUGUCAUAUAUUUGGACUUUAAAAAAGCCUUUGACCUGGUGUCCCAUGAUGUUCUCAUGGAAAAAUCAGGCAAUUGUGGCUCAACUACUCCUCAGUCUGAUGGCUGGGAAACUGGCUCCAAGGUUGGACCCGGAGAGAGGUAGUUGACAGAACCGAAUCAACAUGGUACUUGGUGACUAGUGGUGUCCCCCAAAAGCUCUGUUCUCGGACCUGUGCUCCUUAAUGUCUUCAUAAACGAUCUGGACACUGGUGUCAAAAGCGGACUGGCUAAGGCUUGCAAGGUGGGCAGAUGAAAACCUGAUGGCAUUCAAUAUGGAGAAAGCAUAUGGCAUUCAAUAUGCAAGGUGCUCCACCUCGGGAAUAAAAACCCACAUCACAUUUAUAGGCUUGGCAAUGCUACACUCGCUAGCACUAUGACCGAAAGAGACUUGGGGGUCAUGAUUGACCACAAGAUGAAUAUGAGCCACCAAUGUGAUACAGCUGCUGGUAAAGCAAGCAAAACUCUGGCUUGCAUCUACUGAUGCAUCCUAAGCGAGACCCAGGGUGUCAUCCUACCGCUGUACUCGGCUUUGGUGAGGCCACAGCUGGAGUACUGCAUCCAAUUCUGGGCUCCACACUUUAGGAAGGACAUGGAGAAGCUAAAAGAGUCCAGAGGAGAGCCACACACAUGAUCAGAGGGCAAGAGAACUGGCCUUAUGAAGAGAGGCUGCAAGCUAUGGGACUCUUCAGCUUGGAGAAGCGCAGGCUCAGGGGUGACAUGGUGGCAGCCUGUACAUCAGGAUCUGGAGGAACACCUGUUCAGAGCACCUCAGGGGAUGAAAAGGUCCAACAGUUACAAACUCAUGCAAAACUGUUUUGGGCUGGACACGAGGAAAAGCUUUUUUACUGUCCGAGCCCCCAAGGCCUGGAACAGGCUUCCCCCAGAGGUGGUGCAAGCACCUAUUCUGGACACUUUCAAGAAACAUUUGGACAUUUAUCUUGCUGGGAUCCUUUGACCCUACCUCACUUCCCGCCCCUGGAGCAGGGAGCUGGACCUGAUGAUCUUACAAGGUCCCUUCCAGCGCUAAUGUCUAUGAAAUUCAUGAAGUUUAUGCUUUUCAGGGAAUAUAUUAAAAAACAAAAGAAAAACCUUUACAACCAAAAUGGGGGUUAUUCAUUCCUUGUUUGGCUUUUUAUUCAUUUAUUUUAAAAAAAUAUCAGCAGUGCUCGUUCUUGAUCACUCCUAGGAUGUAUACAGUGAGCUGACACUUAGCUUUUGCCAAGCAUUCCAAACAUGUUCGUUCACUUUCUCAUUCCAGAAAUUUUCUUAUUCACAGAAAUUAUAUAGAAGCUUGUUAGCACACACAACUGAACCCUCAUUAUUUUGGAUGCUGGCUAAAAAUUCUUUUCCCUUCCAUUUGCUCAGCUUUUACUCCCUAGAUUUUCCCGUCAUUGUGUCACUAGUUCUUCAGUUUUCGGAUCAUUUUUUGGGCAAGUCAAGCACUACAGUGUUAAAGUGAAAAACGUUUAAUUUUUAAUAGUGUGUAAGCCUUCUCCAUAUGCCAUAAAGAAAUACAAAAUGAGGCGAUGGAUUUCCCUCCUCCUAUUACAGCUUGCCUCCAAGAGAAACUUGGGCCUGGAAAGAAUCCCCUAAGGUUAUCAAAUCUGUCUGAUGCUAUUGCCAGCAUAGUAUCAUAUAAACCCUUUUACAAACUUAUUUAGUUCCAUCAUCAAAGUUAGAUUUUGAGCCCUCAGUACUCUAGUUGGUGGCAGCAGCUAGGUCUCAUCAAAAUUGGUGGACUUUUCUCAUUAUCAACCAACCCAGGCACUGAAAAGACAACUUCUUUUCCUCAGAUCUCAGUAUUUUCAGUCCUGUAUUUGGGGAAAGAAGUUUACUAGCAUACCAUUAUUUGUGCUAAUACGUGAAAGAACUAACCUUGUCCAAAUGCAUAUAGUAGAUGUAGGGUGAUACAAUUGACUGGCUUUAAGACCAAAACAAGGCUAGCUGCUUUUCUUGGUAACCUGCAGUGGGUCUUCUGAUCAACAGUUGGUGGCAUUUAUUCUAUACAUAAAGUUUGAGCAAACAGACUUUGUGCAAGGCUUUCCAUUAUGGGAGCAAGGCUAGAAUUUGCUUAUUAUAUAAAGGACAGUGGCUUACUACAAUACAGCUACUCUGCAACUUCUCAUUAAGCCUUGAGCUAAAAAGGAGCCCAUUACUCCUUGGCUACUCAGUCCAUACAUGUGGAUCAAAGAGCCUCUUUCAACACUCCCUUCACCUAUUUCCCUUCAGCAAAAACCCGUGCCUCUGAAAUAGUGUUGCUGCAGUGGGAUCUAACCCCUGAUCAGGAAUAAGAAUCUGUUCUGGAAUGUAAGCUUUGGACACCUCCUUUUGCCAGGAGUUGAAUUUCUAUCUGGUAAAGAUCUGGUAUUUCAGUAAGAACCCCCUGGCUGUCCACCCACUCUGUAGUGCUGUGGGGAUGUAUUGUGGCUUUUUCUUUGAUUAGGUUUCUAGAUUUCCCUGACAAUUUCAGUGGCACUCUUUGCAAAGUAAGAAAUGCCUUGUUUUGAUAAAAGCAGGGGUUUAGGUUGUAGCUGUGUUGGUCUAAGGAUAUAGGCAGACAAGGUUCCUUGGGUGAAUUUGAUAUCUUUUAUUAGACCAACCCAAAUGGUUGGAGAAUAGUUAUUAAGCAAGCUUUCGGGUUCAAAAACCCUUCAUCAGGCUAAGGAAGCUGCAGCAGUUGGUGUGUGCUCUUCCUGUUUUGAUAAAAGUUGUUUAUGUUCCAGUGUUGUGCCAGGUUUUUAGACAGUGAUGCUCAGAAAAUAUGCAAGUAUUUGUGAUCCUAAGUUUAGCUGACUUUUUUUUUUUACAGAUUUAAGUUGAAAUGGAAACAACUGUAACAUUUGAGCACAUAUUAAAACCUAUAAGUAAAUACAGAAAUAAUUAAUUUUGUUUAUGCCCUAAUAUUGCAAAUGAGGUACACAGGUGGGACGUGUUCAUUGAAGACUUCAUUAGGACUCUGCAGAUGAAAGGGUCCAUUGUGUGUGCCAUACAGUGCUAGAGACGUUAGACUGCACUAAAUUAAGAGUAUAUGAAUAUGAACAUGAUUUGUUUGAAAUGUCAUAUACAGCAAAAGCUUUGCUAUCUGGCACCCAUGGGGAACGGGGGUGCCGGAUAACAAAAUAUGCCAGUUAAUUGAGAGGCCUGAGCAGGCGCCUUUGCCACUUCUCCCGCCGCAUCGCCGACCCUCCCGUGGACCCGAAGGACAGGGCCCAUACAGCCUGCUUUGCCCUGGGGUGUGAGGGCUUAGCGAAACCGGAAGUGCCACAGUGGACACUUGCAGUUUCGCUUUUACCUUACAAGCUUGCAUGCUGGUUAAUAGAGCCAUGCCGGCUUGUAAGGUGCCAGUUAAGGCAGCUUUUACUGUACAAAAAUUUCACAACACGGAUGGCAAAAUCAAAUCCAGUUGUGGUCCAAUUAAAAAAGCUGCAGCUACAAAGAAGUAAAGUAAAUGUGAAGCAUUUGCUUUGAAUGCUUACAAAACUUUUAAACUCAAUAAAACACUGUAAUCUGUGUAACUUUAAGGAAUCAGCAGGAUACCAAAAACCAAAAUGGCACCAACAGAUGGUAGGCCUCUCAGCCUUAGAACUCUAGUUAGAAACUGCUUAUAUGAAUCACAUGGGUUGUUCAGAGUGAAUAUCCCAAAUGUUAAUUGAUCUACUUCAGUACAUCUACAAUUGUAUCUACUGUUUUGUUUUUUAAAACUCACUCCUGUGGUCUCACAUCCCAAACUAAAUGAACGGGUACAAACUGCAUUUAAGUAGACUUGCUGAUGCAUUAUUAGAUUCCUGGGUUGCUUCCCUUCCACCCAGAAUUUAGGCUUUUUAAUGAAUAUAUUUUUAGUAUCAUGCAUACUGGUCACAGAACUAAGUAGUACCGUAUGUGAUACACAAGAAUGUGACUGUAAAGCAUGAACACCAAUUUAAGUGGUUCAGAUAUAAUAUUUUUAUAUGCAUUUAAUAGUCUUUUAAUGACUGCAUCCUCUGCUUUCUCCCUACCACCAAACAGACGCUUGACUGCACCACGUAAAAUCUAGAAGAGAUAGUGAUCUACAUCAGCCAUCACACAAAACUAGAAUAGUACACAUUUAUAGAUCCGGUAAUUCUGUUUUAAAGAAACCCCUGAUGUUUCAGCUAUAACUAUCUAGUAGCAAGUUUACAAAGAAAAAAAAUCCCUGUGCUUAUAUGCAUUAAGAAAUCCCCUAAAUUUCCCAGUCUUGUUAUCAUAUUACAUGAUGUCCCUUUUUCUCCAGCUCCCAUGGAAGUCAGUUUUGUAGAAAUGAACUUUUCUAUGCUUUAUAUUGAUUUACUAAGGGAAAAAAUAAGGAACACUGAUUGAUACAAACUUUUAUAUAAACUCCAACUAUCGAAAACCCACAAAGCAAGGAUAACUUAUAAAUCGUACUUAUUUUGUCCUUUGUCGUCUAGUUUUAAAACCAUUUUUAACUCAAUUGAAAAAAAUAUUCAUCUCUAAUGUACGCAUGCAACCAAGUUCUGUGGAAAAGGUCAGUUAUAUUUAUUCAUGAAUUGUUUCUAAGUCUAUUUCUGAGAAUUUUAUUAUUAAUCUAGAGUAUAAGGUAAGAGCAAAAACAGUUUACCAGAACAAAAC